rnacentral:rRNA from 1 species
AAUGGGUCAGCGACUUAUAUUCUGUAGCAAGGUUAACCGAAUAGGGGAGCCGAAGGGAAACCGAGUCUUAACUGGGCGUUAAGUUGCAGGGUAUAGACCCGAAACCCGGUGAUCUAGCCAUGGGCAGGUUGAAGGUUGGGUAACACUAACUGGAGGACCGAACCGACUAAUGUUGAAAAAUUAGCGGAUGACUUGUGGCUGGGGGUGAAAGGCCAAUCAAACCGGGAGAUAGCUGGUUCUCCCCGAAAGCUAUUUAGGUAGCGCCUCGUGAAUUCAUCUCCGGGGGUAGAGCACUGUUUCGGCAAGGGGGUCAUCCCGACUUACCAACCCGAUGCAAACUGCGAAUACCGGAGAAUGUUAUCACGGGAGACACACGGCGGGUGCUAACGUCCGUCGUGAAGAGGGAAACAACCCAGACCGCCAGCUAAGGUCCCAAAGUCAUGGUUAAGUGGGAAACGAUGUGGGAAGGCCCAGACAGCCAGGAUGUUGGCUUAGAAGCAGCCAUCAUUUAAAGAAAGCGUAAUAGCUCACUGGUCGAGUCGGCCUGCGCGGAAGAUGUAACGGGGCUAAACCAUGCACCGAAGCUGCGGCAGCGACACUAUGUGUUGUUGGGUAGGGGAGCGUUCUGUAAGCCUGUGAAGGUGUACUGUGAGGUAUGCUGGAGGUAUCAGAAGUGCGAAUGCUGACAUAAGUAACGAUAAAGCGGGUGAAAAGCCCGCUCGCCGGAAGACCAAGGGUUCCUGUCCAACGUUAAUCGGGGCAGGGUGAGUCGACCCCUAAGGCGAGGCCGAAAGGCGUAGUCGAUGGGAAACAGGUUAAUAUUCCUGUACUUGGUGUUACUGCGAAGGGGGGACGGAGAAGGCUAUGUUGGCCGGGCGACGGUUGUCCCGGUUUAAGCGUGUAGGCUGGUUUUCCAGGCAAAUCCGGAAAAUCAAGGCUGAGGCGUGAUGACGAGGCACUACGGUGCUGAAGCAACAAAUGCCCUGCUUCCAGGAAAAGCCUCUAAGCAUCAGGUAACAUCAAAUCGUACCCCAAACCGACACAGGUGGUCAGGUAGAGAAUACCAAGGCGCUUGAGAGAACUCGGGUGAAGGAACUAGGCAAAAUGGUGCCGUAACUUCGGGAGAAGGCACGCUGAUAUGUAGGUGAAGCGACUUGCUCGUGGAGCUGAAAUCAGUCGAAGAUACCAGCUGGCUGCAACUGUUUAUUAAAAACACAGCACUGUGCAAACACGAAAGUGGACGUAUACGGUGUGACGCCUGCCCGGUGCCGGAA